GACGAACGCUGGCGGCGUGCUUAACACAUGCAAGUCGAACGGAAAGGCCCUUCGGGGUACUCGAGUGGCGAACGGGUGAGUAACACGUGGGUGAUCUGCCCUGCACUUUGGGAUAAGCCUGGGAAACUGGGUCUAAUACCGAAUACACCCUGCUGGUCGCAUGGCCUGGUGGGGGAAAGCUUUUGCGGUGUGGGAUGGGCCCGCGGCCUAUCAGCUUGUUGGUGGGGUGAUGGCCUACCAAGGCGACGACGGGUAGCCGGCCUGAGAGGGUGUCCGGCCACACUGGGACUGAGAUACGGCCCAGACUCCUACGGGAGGCAGCAGUGGGGAAUAUUGCACAAUGGGCGCAAGCCUGAUGCAGCGACGCCGCGUGAGGGAUGACGGCCUUCGGGUUGUAAACCUCUUUCAGCACAGACGAAGCGCAAGUGACGGUAUGUGCAGAAGAAGCACCGGCCAACUACGUGCCAGCAGCCGCGGUAAUACGUAGGGUGCGAGCGUUGUCCGGAAUUACUGGGCGUAAAGAGCUCGUAGGUGGUUUGUCGCGUUGUUCGUGAAAACUCACAGCUUAACUGUGGGCGUGCGGGCGAUACGGGCAGACUAGAGUACUGCAGGGGAGACUGGAAUUCCUGGUGUAGCGGUGGAAUGCGCAGAUAUCAGGAGGAACACCGGUGGCGAAGGCGGGUCUCUGGGCAGUAACUGACGCUGAGGAGCGAAAGCGUGGGGAGCGAACAGGAUUAGAUACCCUGGUAGUCCACGCCGUAAACGGUGGGUACUAGGUGUGGGUUUCCUUCCUUGGGAUCCGUGCCGUAGCUAACGCAUUAAGUACCCCGCCUGGGGAGUACGGCCGCAAGGCUAAAACUCAAAGGAAUUGACGGGGGCCCGCACAAGCGGCGGAGCAUGUGGAUUAAUUCGAUGCAACGCGAAGAACCUUACCUGGGUUUGACAUGCACAGGACGCCGGCAGAGAUGUCGGUUCCCUUGUGGCCUGUGUGCAGGUGGUGCAUGGCUGUCGUCAGCUCGUGUCGUGAGAUGUUGGGUUAAGUCCCGCAACGAGCGCAACCCUUGUCUCAUGUUGCCAGCACGUUAUGGUGGGGACUCGUGAGAGACUGCCGGGGUCAACUCGGAGGAAGGUGGGGAUGACGUCAAGUCAUCAUGCCCCUUAUGUCCAGGGCUUCACACAUGCUACAAUGGCCGGUACAAAGGGCUGCGAUGCCGUGAGGUGGAGCGAAUCCUUUCAAAGCCGGUCUCAGUUCGGAUCGGGGUCUGCAACUCGACCCCGUGAAGUCGGAGUCGCUAGUAAUCGCAGAUCAGCAACGCUGCGGUGAAUACGUUCCCGGGCCU
rnacentral:rRNA from 1 species